GACGUAGGGGGCCAGCGUUGUUCGGAAUUACUGGGUGUAAAGGGUUCGUAGGCGGUGUGGCAAGUCGGGAGUGAAAUUUCUGGGCUCAACUCAGAGACUGCUUCCGAAACUGCUGUGCUGGAGUGUGGGAGAGGCGCGUGGAAUUGCAGGUGUAGCGGUGAAAUGCGUAGAUAUCUGCAGGAACACCCGUGGCGAAAGCGGCGCGCUGGACCACUACUGACGCUGAGGCACGAAAGCUAGGGGAGCAAACAGG
rnacentral:rRNA from 1 species